GGCAGGGCGGUGAACGCUUUUCCCCACAGACGGGACGGUAACCGCUGCUCGUGGGUUGCAGCUUUUACCAUCAUCAUGCAGACAAAACACGGAAACUCUUAAAUAGGGUGACAAACCAGAACGUCCGUGUUUUCAACCUUGAUGUGAAGACUGUUGCUGUUGUCACUGUCAUUCUUGCUGCUGCCAGCCUUUGCGCGGGCACCUGAAAGAAGCCCUGGGGAAAACUGUUUCUCAGAAAGUGAACAGAAUCUCCCCUGGACCUCCGUCGUCUCAUUGAUGAGACAAAUCCUGAUCCAGGAAAACUUCCGCCUUUUUCUGAUGGUGAAUUUCAUCCAAGCCUUCCAUUGACCUUUCUUCAGUAACUUCAUGGUGAUCUUCGCAGAUAAUCUUGUUCCCGAGGGUGUUCUUCCUUCUUCCAUAAGGAGCAUCGAAGACAGGGCAGGCUGUAUAUGCCCACAGUUAUGUGAUGAUUCUUCGUGUAUCUUCCUACAAGGAUUAAAGAUUUAACUCUUACCUGGCUGAGGAAAUUAAAAACCUGAUUGUAUCAGUAGUUUGAAAAAAUGACACGCAUUUAUUAAGAAAUCCAAAGAUUCAUAGCCUCAGACAUUAUACAAGAUUCAGUAGAAACAUAAUGGAUACAAGAGAUGAAAGGAAAAAGAGGAAGGAGAGGCCAAUGAGGGCUGAACGAUGUGAUAAUUAAACAUUUUAGCUUUUGAAUUUUGUCCCCCUGAGCUUUCUCAUUUAAGCCUCAGCAGAGCUGUGGAAGAAAAUAAAUGACUUCCUGUGAGCAUGUGGUUUUGCUUUACCUGGGUGUUUAAGAUUCCUGUGACUGUUACAAGGAAGAAGAGUGGCUUGAUCAAGAAUUCGUGAAGCCAGAUUUCAAAACGCUUGGCUGAACGACUGAGUCCUGGAAUUCCAGAGCAUUGUUAAAAUUCCAUGGUCAUGACCAUUACUGUAGAGAGCAUGUCCUCCUUCAAAAAAUGUAUCGGCCUGCUGUUUAUUGCACCAUUUGGAGAUUUUUUUUUUUUUUUAAGAUUUUAUUUUUUCCUUUUUCUCCCCAAAGCCCCCCGGUACAUAGUUGUGUAUUCUUCGUUGUGGGUUCUUCUAGUUGUGGCAUGUGGGACGCUGCCUCAGCGUGGUCUGAAGAGCAGUGCCAUGUCCGCGCCCAGGAUUCGAACCAACGAAACACUGGGCCGCCUGCAGCGGAGCGCGCGAACUUAACCACUCGGCCAC
rnacentral:lncRNA from 1 species